AGUAGAAAGAGGGAAAUAUUGGUUUUGUACUUGUGAGAGGCUACAUGUUCCUUGGAUUGAAGUGAGAUGGUAAGUAGAUCUUCUACUUCCAUAAUCUUCAUUUUUCUACUCUAUUUCCAUCACCACACCUGACUGCUUUGUUUUUUUUCUCCUUCAAUUUUGGAUUGCCAAUUAAUUAAUUUUUUUAUUAAUUAAUUUGUAGAAGAAAUAACAGGGAACUGGUUUGUUUAAAAGUGAUUGAUUUAUAUACCCUUAUCAAUUUAUUAAUUUAUGAAAUUAGAAAAUUAUUACUUAUUUUUUAUUAUCAAUUAAGUUAUUUAGUAGGAUUUGUAACAUUGAAAAUGUGAAAUUGCAAUUAGUAAUAGGAAAUAUUGAUGGCUGAUACAUAGUUGAAAUGUAUGAAUGUGUAACAUGAAGCUGGUUAUUUUCUAAUUGGAUAUUUGCUGGGGGUUCUUCCAAAAGGUUAUAGAAUACCAUGCAUAGAGGAGUUGCAAGAUGAUAGAUUUGUUGCUGGAAGUGUAGACGAGUCUCUUCACGUGAGUAAGAAUAUUGUUGUCAUUACUACGCUUCAUUAGUUUGAAUUGCCUUACUGACCGAGAAAAGGAAAUAGUUUGAUGCUAAUUUUAUGUUAUGAUGUUAAUGCUAACUUGCUAAGACAUCUUAUAAGUUAUGUAUAUCUGCACCUUGCAGGCCAGUGCUCGUAGCAUUUCAAACAAGGUGAAAAGCUCUCUUUUUCUCCAGUUAGCUUCCACUAUUCUGCAACUCUUGGGUUCUACCACUGUAAUUGUUUGAGGGCCCUUCUUUGGUCUUGAUGGCUAGAUGCAUGCUGCACCCGCAUCAUUAAGUUCCUAGGUUCGAGGGCUAACAGAAGAAUUGACUGAAAGCUGGUCCGAAAAGCACAAUAGAAAUCAGAUAAUAGAUAUGACUUGUAGGAUAGCAAGACAUGAAGCAACUUCAGCUGGUACUAACAAAAACUAUUAACUAUAAUUUGAUAGUCUAACAGGAAUAAUUUGUUCAUCUGUUCUUUUGUAAUGCUUUUUCUUUUAGUAUCAUAGGUAGGUGAUGACUGAGGAAAAGAAAAAUUAUUAAAGAAUGAAAUGGUCUCCAAGUCUUUAUGGUAUUAAGUGCAUGGAAUUUGGUUUAUCUGCAGUACUUCCACUUCCAAAAUAUCACUGAAGGUGAGGGAAGAAAUGUGGGAAGAGAUGAAUCACAAGCAUGCUAAUAUUGGCAUUUCAUAGAACUCAAGCUUUGUUCCAAAGUCAGGGCCUCAUAGGCACAGUCAAACAGAGUGCAUUCUACAAACCUGAGACACGCACGCAUACCAAGUGCAAUGGUCUUAUUAAUCAUAUGAAGAGCAUCACUCGCAUCAUAUUUCUGCCUGAUACUAUGCUUUGCAGACUCUGAACAACUUUUUAUGCGUGGUCUUAGGAAGCCUAGUCGCUGAGCAUCUACAAUUUGGAUGCAUAGAGGGACUCCAUGAUGAUGUUGACAAGGUACAUUCUUCUGCUCAAAUGAUGUUGCCAUGAGGUAUUUUCAGAUUACUAACUGCUAGUGCUUCCCAUUAAUGGAAGCAGCUGGAUAAAGUACUUAGCUGGUUGGGUUACACUGCGAUCAAGUUAGAUGGGCUGCAUCGAAUACUAUUACAAUAGAAGAUGCUGAUGUUGGGAGAGAAAUCGAGCUGGUUCGCAAGCUCUAUCAGAGCAUCCCUCAAUCUGCUGUCCUUUGUGAGAGUGGCCAGAACAGUUGUAGAGUGGUUUCCACAAGCAAAAAUUUCUUCAAUUUAUUGCCCAUGAUGUAACUAGCAUUAUAAUUAAGCGUUGUCUUCUACUUCAUGUUCAAAUUGCAUGUAAGUUGGCUAUGAUUAGAACUUUGUAGUUCAACUUGAACUCUUAGAUAGUUCUGUUUUUACAUUUAGCAGGAUCCAAUGAGCAAUACAUGAAGAUUGUACAGUCUACAACAUCAUCUUGGUCCGUUCUUGCUCAUCCAGGAAAGGAAAUUCAGACAAAAACCAUUGUUUCUGAUGAUUUUUUGUACCACAGAAACUUGCAAACAGACCAAGGCAGAUUAAACUCCCAAAACAAUGAGAGAAAGAACAGGAAAAAAGAAUCAUGCAAAUUCAAUAUAAUUAACUUGAUACAUUACUGCUUUGCUCAAAAAGAUACCAUAAAAGAGUUCAGAACCCCAAAAUCAAAGAACCCUAAAACUAAACCAUCCUAUAUUAUACAGCUGGUCAAAAAAAAAAAAAACCCAAAAACAAAACAAAGAAGAAAAAGCGGACUAAAACUCCUGAGAAGCAGAUCCAAUAUCACCCUUGCCCUUUCCCAUUUUCUUUGGAAGAAGGGUUUGGUGAAUGUUGGGCAAAACACCUCCAUUUGCAAUGGUAACCGAACCCAAAAGCUUGCUUCGCUUCUCAUCAUUCCUCACUGCUAGUUAGAUGUGUCUUGGAACAAUUCGAUUCUUCUUGUUGUCUCUCGCUGCGUUGCCAGGAAGCUCUACUAACUCACAAGCUAAAAGCUUGUUGCAAGUCACAAGAAUGACCAUAACUGAUUGUGAGAUGAUAAAGGAAACCAUAGCCUGUGAGUGUGAUGAAGUGAAAAGAGGCAUUGUUUUUACCCAACUGAAGUAUUUGCAACUAAGCGGUCUACCAACUCUGGCUAGCUUUUGCUUAGGAGAUCAUAACUUUGAAUUCCCUGCCCUAGGGAAAAUGAUUGUGAGAGAAUGCCCAAAAAUGAAGAUUUUUUGUCAAGGAUAUUUAAGCACACCACAACUGCAAAAAGUCAUAUGGACAAAAGAUGAACAUGAAGAAAAUGGGUGGUGGGAAGGUGACCUUAAAACUACUAUAACACGGAUGUUUGAAGAAAAGGUAAGCAUCGAUUUAAAAGAUUUUCUUAUGUUGCUUUGUUUUCUUAUUUUGAUAUUUCAAUUAGCUUUUCCUUGUUACCCCAUACUUAUUAAAAGGUUGCUCGAAUGAGAAAACCAUACUAAUACAUAAAGUAGAGCUGUUGCAGAAUUAGUUCAUUAAUUUAGCAUAGAGCUUCUAAUUAUUAAUAAAGAAAUUUACUAUAAAAUUAUCGUUUCGGUCUCUUCUAUAGCGUAUCCAAUUUCAGAAAUUCUUAAUUUUUAUAAUUUCAAAAUAUCGAAAAUUCUAAAGAUCAUUGAGUUUAUUCUUUAAUCUGCUCAAAUUGGAAGAAGGAAAUAUUGUUUUUGUACUUGCGAGACACUACAUGUUCCUUGGGUUGAAGUGAGAUGGUAAGUUGAUCUUCUACUUCCAUAGUCUUCAUUUUUCUACUUUAUUUCCUUCGCCGUGGCUUAGUUGCUUUGUUUUUUUUUUUCUUGAUUUUCGAAUUGCCAAUUAAAAGCAAGAUAAGAAUUUGUCUAUUAAUCGUUUGCACCGAUGACAGACAAAAGAAUGAACUGCAUAGAUCGAGUGCACUUUGACUCUCCGGUAGACGUAAUCCGACCUCCACCCAAUUUCGAUCUCUCGAAACAGCGUCACGAAGCUCUACAAAGGGUUGACAAAGAGCUCUCGAAGCGCAAUUUCAGAACUAAAAGAAAGUUGAAGUUCAAUUAAUCUAAUGUGAGAUGUUAGAAGUUGUUUUUAUUUUUAUUUUUUGCAUAAAUAAAGAAAGGAAAAAAAGUAGAGGAAUGGAACAAAUAAUAUGGACAAAAUAGAAUAUAACAUAGGAAAGAAAAGAAAAAGAAGAAAAAAGAGAAAAUUAAAAGCUAAAAAAAUCAACAGAUAAUUAAUAGUAUUAUCAUAUAAUUCUACUCAUAUAAAUUUGUAUAAUUAACUUAACAAAGAUAUAAACCAUUUAAUGUAAAGAAUCCUUGACUCUAUUCCGAAUAAUAAAAGAAGUAAUUGGGAUGUUAUAUUUAAUAAACUCAAAAGUUUAAGAUUAUACAGAUAAAUUUAACCAACCAAUUAUAAUUCAAAGAUGGAGGUUUGAUUACCUUCCCGAAUAUAUAAAAAUUGAAGACUUGAAGCAGUGUGCUAUAGCAGGAUUCUAAAGGCAAGACAAAGAAAAAGUCACAUAUUCUUAAUGAACAAAAUCAGUCACUUUACUUGUGCAAAUAAUCAAGCUCUGAUUCUACAUUGUAACAUUUAAAUUAUUGUUAUUUAUUUCAGUUUCCAGUCAUUCGAUGCUUUCUUUUGCCUUGUCUUCUUUGCCACCCAAUGCAUCUUUUUCUUUUUCUCUAUACCAAAACAUCAUCAUUCUGUUUGUUUUCUUUUUGGAGAGAAGGAAAAUCAAAAGAUUAUUCAUUCCAAGAUUCCUAUAAGCAAAUGUGACAGAAGGUUAAAUUCUUCAAUUCAGUAAAGGCAUGCACAAAGACACUUGUCACGAACAAUCCAUCCAUGGAAAAAUGGUAAGCAGACAAAUAUUAGGCCUGGACCCUCCUAGUUAUGGACAGGAUGACAAAUAACAACAUUUACUUAAAAUGUUAAAAAUAUUAAACCAAGAGUUGUUGAGACAUCUAUAUUCUUUUCGUAAUUGCAGUUGCACCGAAUUUUAUGACGUUGGUCUUGGUUAGAGGCUUGAAUCUUUCUUUUUGGAUAUUUAUAUUAUUUAUUUGUUUAAUAAAAAUCUCAUGACUUGUGCCUAUUAUAUAUAAUUAUUCUAAAAAAAAAUAAAGAUAUAACAAAGACUUAAGGUGAGUCUUCCAUUAUGCUUGAAUGACCAUGAGAAGCUUCCUAGGUUUAUAAAACCCGAACACACAACGUUUCUGCUCAACUCAUUCCUAUGAUCUUACUUUAGCGUCCUUUGCUCUUCCAUUUCUCAAAACCCUUUUAUUUCCUUGCUUUGAUCGUCGAUUAUCGUUUCCCUUUCCUUUGGUUUUGGCUUGCUCCGUUGUUUCUUUCUCAUCUCUUUUUCCUCCACCUCAAAGUGUCGGCUUCUCACAUUCCUCUGCUUUCCACCCAAUAAACCAGAAACUUUUACUUUGAUUCUUAGUUGCCUCUUUGUUCAUCGCUACAGUUAAUGCAGAAGCCACCGUUUCCAAUUUCUCACCGUUCUGAUUAUUUUCCUUGCUAACAUAGUUUUUCAUAUAUUAGUUUUUGCUAUUUUCAUUUUUGGGUCUGCUCGAUCCCCUGUUUUCUCUGUUCUUUUGUCAUUUGCUUUAAUUGUCUGUUGAAUUUUUUAAAAAAAAUGGAAGCUGUUGGUACUGGAGCUGCUGCCAACGUUUCUUCAGAGAUCGCGAAAGGCACCUUCCAAGAAAUUAAACGUCAUAUCAGACAUGUAUUUAUCUACAAGAAAAAUGUCGACAAGUUCGAGGAAAAACUUCAGAUGUUGAUAGCAAAAAGAACAAGUGUGCAGCAAGAGGUUGAUGCUGCGGACAGGAACGGGGAGAAGAUAAAAGCGGACGUCCAACAUUGGAGCAACACAGUGGACAAGGUAAUCAAUGAAGAGGAGAAGAAGGUGAAGGAUCUUCAAGAGAAAGCAAAGAACAAGUGCUUCAUUGGCUUGUGUCCCAAUAUUAAGUCUCGCUACCAGCUUAGCAGGAAAGCAGAAGAAGGUGUUGCGGUUGUUGACGACCUUAUUCGACAGUGUCAAUUUAACGAAGUGGGAUACCGUGGUGUUCCAGAAGGUUUUCAACGAUAUCGUGGAAGCAGUGAAAGAUGCUGCUAUCACUAGUCAACAAAGUUGCUAGACAAGUCCAAGAGGUCAAGUUAUUUGAUUCGGUGGUUAACGUAAUUGUGACUCAAGACUCCUGACAUUCAGAAAAUUCAAGAUCAAGUUGCACAAUUAUUAAGUCUCAGACUGGAAGAUAAGAGUACGGUUGUAAGAGCACAUAGAUUGUGCGAAAGGUUGAAAAAAGGGAAGAAGGUUCUUGUUGUUUUAGAUAAUACUUGGAAGGAAUUGGAUCUCGAGAAAGUUAGAAUUCCAUUUGGGAACCAACACAAGGGAUGCAAGAUAUUGUUGACGUCAAGAGAUCAAAAUGUACUCACCAAUGAGAUGGAUGCAGAGAAAACUUUUGCAAUUGGUGAUAAAGAAGAUUGGCUCUUAUUUAGGAAGACGGCCGGGGAAAUUGUUGAAAGCACUGAGUUGCGAUCUACAGCAAUUGAGGUAGCCAAAAGAUGUGCAAAAUUACCGUUGGCCAUUGCAACAGUUGCAAGGGCAUUGAGAAAUAAAAGCUUAUAUGCUUGGAAUGAUGCUUUACGGUAACUACAGAGGCCUUCCUCAAAAACUUCGCUGGGAUAUCCGCAGCCGUAUAUUCAGCUAUAGAGUUGAGUUACAAUCACUUAGAAAGUGAAGAUCUUAAACAGGUUUUCCUGCUUUGCAGUCUACUGCAUUGUGAUAGCAUCGAUUACUUGUUGAGAUAUGCCAUUGGUUUGGGUUUAACUAAUGGUGUCAACACCGUGGAGGAAGCGCGAAAUAGGUUGUUAACAAUGGUGAGUAACUCUUGUUUUUUACUUGAUAGUAACAUCAAUGACCAGUACUUUGAUAUGCAUGAUCUUGUUUUUGAUGUCGCCAUGUCAAUCGCUUUUACAUACAAUCAAGUCUUUGCAUUAAAUGAGGAGGAUGUUCUAAAAGAUUGGCCUGAUGGGGAGACAAUGAAAAAGUGGAACAAGAUUUGUUUGAAAUAUCAUAGGGUUGGAGAGGUUCCUGACAAGUUGAAUUGUCCACAGCUUGUUCUUUUCCUUAUUUGUAGAAAGGAUCUGUCCAUGAAAAUGCCACCUAACUUCUUUAGGGAAACAACAAAUCUUAAAGUCUUAGAUUUGACUCAGAUGCAUUUCUCUUCUUUACCUUCAUCAAUUUGUCUUCUAACAAGUCUUCGUACAUUGUGCCUAGAUCAAUGUGAAUUGGGAGAUAUAGUCAUUAUUGGAGAGCUCAAGAAUUUAGAAAUUCUUAGCCUUUGAAAUCUAAUAUCAAAACUCUAGCUAAGGGAAUUGGGCAACUAGUUAAGUUGAAGUUAUUGGAUUUAAAUGAUUGUACUAAACUCAAAAUAAUUCCACCAGGUGUCUUAUCAAGUUUGUCCAAAUUAGAAGAAUUAUAUAUGGGUGACACGUUUAUUCAAUGGGAAGCAGGGGAACAGGCCAACCAACAAAGCAAUGCUAGUCAUUGUCUCGUUUGACCACUUUAGAAGUUCAAAUUCCUAAUGCUGAGGCCAUGCUAGAAGGGUUGCUCUUUAAAGAGAUGCAAAAGUUGAAAAGAUACAAAGUUUUCGUAGGAAAGGAAUGGGAAUGGUUUGGUGAGUAUGAGUAUCCAAGGACUCAGAAACUCAAGUUAAGUACAAGCAUUGAUCAUUUGGAUCAUGGAAUUAAGUUGUUAUUGAAGAACACCGAAGCUCUGUAUUUCGAUGAACUUAAAGGUGUCAAGUUUGCAAUGCAAGAGUUAAAAGAUGAAGAAAGCUUGCUGCUGUUCAAGAAUCUAUAUAUCCAAAAUAUUCAAUGAUCAAAUAUAUCAUUAUUGAUAAUGGUGUCUUUGACACUUCAAAAUCUAUCACAGCUCAUUGGCUUUUGUUCUGAAGAAAAAAGCAGCUCUACCUCCACAGCUCAACAUGAUCAGUUGCCUCUUUUCAAUGAUAAGGUAUUUAUUAACUUCCAUCUUUUACUCAUUCUAAGGCAUAGGUUAAUCUUAUUUUUAAAUUCUUUAAGAUUCUUUCUUAUGAUCGACCAAUGUUCUCGGAUGUUAAAUUUGUAUUAUUUUAGAAUCUCCUUCCUUCACUUCUUUGCUAGAUGCCCCUGAAUAUCUAUUAUGAGUAAAAACAUACAUUGAACAUCCAUUAUAAAUAUAGAAGAAGAAAGCAAAGAUAAGAUUUUGUUUCCUCAAUUAAGCUUUCUAAAGUUAUAGGAUCUUUAGCAUCUUGUUGGAUUUUUCUUAAAAGAUCAGAAUAUUGAAUUUCCAUUCUUGAAGGCAUGAUGAUAGAGAACUGCCCAGAAAUAAAAGGGCUCAUAUACAAAUCUUUGACGGAAGGGAGCCAACGUUUCUCUAGUCAAGCUUUCUUCAACGAAAAAGUAGAUUAAUUAGCAUUCUUUAUUGAACAUGUUUUUCCCAUUGCCAUGCUUUUGGCCUUGAUUAUAGGAACAAAUGCUUCUAAAAUUUUCAUUAAUUGGCAUGAAUUAAUUACAUACAGGUUGCAUUUCUUAGUUUGGAGGGACUUUCUAUUUUCAAAUUGAGAAGCAUCAAGAUGAUAUGGCAGAACCAACCCGCUACGAAUUCCUUUGGCAAACAACCAGGAAUGAAAGUUCAAGAAUGUGAUGAGUUAUUGACCAUUUUUCCAUCUAAUAUGUUGAGAGCAUUUCAAGGACUGCAAAAAUCUAUUAGUGAACAAUUGUGUUUUGCUAGAAGAAGUAUUUGAAGUCAGAAGGUCAAAUAUGGAAGAAACAUGUGCUGCCUCCACUCAACUAGGAGAGUUGUAUAUUGUGGAUCUACCAAGCCUCAAGUAUAUUUGAAAAAAUGAUCCCAAAGGAAUUUUUACAUUUGAAAAUCUGCGGGUAAUAAGUAUUUGGCGUUGUUUCAAUCUGAAGAAUGUAUUUCCAGCCUCAGUAGCCAAAGUUCUUCCAUAACUUAGAGAUCUUCGGAUAGCUGGUUGCAGAGUGAAGGAAAUUGUUUCUAAAGAGGAAGGAUUGGAAACAGUUGUCACUUUUGUGUUUGAUCAAGUAUCCUACCUUUGCCUUUUGAACCUACCAGAACUCGUAUGUCUCUACUUGGGGGUGCAUGCCACAGAGUGGCCAAUGUUAAAAAGGUUAAAUGUAUUGGACUGUGGGAACAUGAAGAUACUCGGUAUAGAACGUCUUAGCAUCCCUGAUAAGACUAAGGUCGAUGGACAACUUGAGUCCACAUUAAUCCUUCCACCGCUUUCGUUGGCUAAAAGGUAUGCGUGCACCUCCACCUCAACUCUUCUCUCAAUUAAUUAAGAUGCUAACGUGUACAUGAAAAGCUAUUUGAUUGAUCCUUGUAAUGUACAAAAAAUCAUUUCCAUCAAAUGUGAUCUUCAAGAAAAUCAUUAAAUACUACCAAAUCAAUUUUUUAUUUUUAUAUUUAUUUUUAUAGGAAAUUGCAUAUGUCAAUGACUAACUAGUUGAAUUUAUAUAAAUUAAGUGGUAUGUAAUAUUUUGAAAAAUAAAUCACUUGCAUGUUUUGAUUUCACUCACAAUUUCAGAUGAGCAUUUAGUCACUUAACUUUUCGAAAACUUUUAUUUUUAGUCAUUCAAUAUUAAAAAAUAAUGAUUUGGUCACCAACAUUUGUGAAAGUUAUUUUUUUUAACACUUAAUAAUUAGAAAAAAAAAGUCAAUCAUUAGCUUUUUUAGAGAAAAAAAAGGUCAACCAUUGGCUUCUAACAACUGAGUGAUAAACAUGAACUUUCACAAAGUUUGAUAGCCAAAUUGUGAUUAUUUAAAAUUAAAUGACCAAAAUAAAAACUUAUGAAAAAUUAAUUGAGUAAAUGUGUAAUUAAAAUUGGAGUUUGUUUGAGUCCAACCCCUACCUUUAAUCGUGAAAACAAGUACCAAGACUUGCCUACUCGCAUAUUGUGUUUGUGUGUGCACUUAUUUUCUUUUUGGCUCCAAAACUAUUUUUUCAGGACAUCCCUAAAUUAGAAAAAUUGUCGCUAAAUAUUGAUGACAUUGCAAUGAUAAGUGAGUCAAUUUUCAAGCAGCCUUUUUCGUUAAAUAAAAGUUUUUAAGGUUUACAGCAACCCUGGUAAAUCUGUUGUUUCCCCAAGUGCUUUCCUUGAAAGAUUUGACAAUCUAGAAAGCUUGUGGUGAUUUCUUAUGAAUUCAAAGAGCUGUUCUGCAAUGAAAGAGAUAAUGGUAUGGAGACAUAUGCGGGGACACUGCCGAUGAUCAGAAGCUUAAAAUUGAUUCAUCUUCAUAAUCCCAAACAAUUAUGGAGGCAGGACGUACAAGUAGACCACAUUCCCCCGAAUCUGGAAACUCUUAAAGUCUGGGAUUGUGCCAAACUGAUUAGUUUAGGAUCAUCCACAGCAUCGUUCCAAAAUCUCUUGAUGUUGGAUGUGUGGAGCUGCAAAGCAAUGAUAUGCUUAGAUACAUCUUUAGCAGUCCAAAGUCUAGCCCAGCUCUAAAAAUUGAGGUUAAGACAGUGCAUUCCAAUGAAGGAAAUAGUUGGAAAUGAGGGUGAUGAAGCAACAUACGACAUUGUUUUCAGCAACUUGAAAAGUUUGGAACUUUGUGGUUGACCACAAAUUAGAAGUUUUUGUUCAGGCAACCACACAUUUGGGUUCCCGUCUUUAGAAAAAGUAAUUGUGAGCAAAUGUCCUGAAAUGAAGAUUUUCUGUAAGGGAGUUUUAAAUGCGCCAAUGCUGCAAAGAGUACAAGAAACAGAUGAAGAUGGUAAGGGACAUUGGGGUGGUGACCUUAACAGUACUAUCCAACAACUCUACGUCGAAAAGGUACCUAUGUAAGAAAUUAUUUAUCUAACGAAUUAAUUGUCUUUGUAAGGCUCUUUUUUGUUGCUGGAUGCUUUUGUUUGCUUAAUUUAACUUUAGGUUUUCUAUUUUUAUUUCCUUUUUGUUUGUGCGUACUUUUGAACUUAAUCUUCCUUUCUUUGAUGGAUUUUGUAGGUUGGAUACUAAGGAGUUGUGUAUGAAGUACUUUCCAAAUUUUCUAAGUCAAUAGAAAUAUGGAAGGACAAUCUUGAAGGAGUUUUAGAUUUUGUAAAUCUUAAAUAUUUGAAAAUUUACAAAUGUAAGAGCUUCAAGUCCAUUUUUACUGUUUCCAUGGUUUUGGAGCUUCAGCAAUUGAACGAGAUAAAAGUAAAAAAUUGCCAUAUGAUGGAGCAUAUUAUCACAAAUGAACAAGCAGAGGAAGCCGCAAUGAAUUUAAUGGUGUUACCCAGGCUUAAGGUUAUAAUUCUUGAGUCAUGUUCCAAUUUGAGGAGCUUUUGUUUGAGAAGUAUUACAAUGGAUGUCAGUCCAAUUGUUAAUAUUAUUAAAAAAAAUUAUUAUUUAUAUUGAUAUGAUUUUUUUACUGAUAUAGCAUUAAAUAUGAUGACUUGUUAAUAAUGAUGUGACAUUUUUUUUAUAUUUCACAUCAUUCUUUUCAAUGUUUUAAAUUAUGAAACACAGAAAUUUAAUUUUUUUUAUUCAAACAAUACUAUUUUCCUAAAUCCUAGAAACCUAUUAGUAUUUUUUAUUUGUUUCUUAUGCAAUUGUGUUUAAUAUCAUUAACUCACAUUGGAUAAUUCAAUAUCCACACUUAUAAAAUCCAUUUUAGUACUUGAUCAUGUCAUAUUGACAUUACUAUUACAUUAUUUUUAAAAUACUACAUCAGUAGUGUUAUGUCAUUAUAUUCAAUGUCACGUCUAAUAGCAAAGCUAAUAUUUUAUGUUUGGAGAGACGAAAAUAAAAAGUUCGAUGUUUAUAGAGAUAAAAUUAUAAAUUUUUUUUUAAAAUAGGGAUAAAAUUAUAAAUUUUAAAAAGUAAUAAGUAAAAAUUUUAAAAUUUUAACUGUGAGGCCCUACUAGCCCCUUCCUCUACUUCUAAUCAAAUCAAUAAAAAAAUACCAUGUCAACAUAAGCAAACGUCAUAUUAAUAUAAAUAAUAAAAAAUUUUAUCACAUUGAAUUGAUAUUGUAUUUUUAAAAAGUACAUAGAUUCAAUUUUUGAAAGUAUUAUAUAAAAAUUAAAUUAACCAUUAUAAUAUAAUAUAAAGACUAAUGUCAUAAUUUAAUAAAAAAUUUAUAUUCAGCCACCCCCAUUACACUUGCUCGAGUUUUUAAAUCUCGUGAUGCGACCGCUUUGUCGGGUAACCAGAAAAUAUCCUAUACAUCCCCACUUUCCAUUUAAUGGAUAAAGAAUAUACACUUGCCUCACAUGGGAAAUUGUGUUCCCUAAGGAUUUCUUUUUAUUGUGAAUUACACGACUUAUUAAAUUAAACAACAAUAAUAAAAAUUAUCUAAUUCUUGAAAUUAACAUAAAAGUCUCCAUCUAAGCUUGAUUCAACCUGAAAGAAAUAGUAAGCUCGGACUUAGUUAAAUUUAUAAAACUCAUAUAUAUUCACUAUUGACAUUAUAUUUUCCCUUUUGAGUUCUAAUUAACAUAUUUAAACUUUUCUGAUCUCUUUUAACUUUUUUUUUUAAAUGAGUUUUAUUUUUUCGUUACUUGUAAUAUUAUGACAAGUCUUUUAACUCAAUUGACAGAAUACUUUUGUGAGAUAGAGUACUUGGUGCCGGAAUUUAAUUGUACAUUUACAAAAGUUACACUGUGCAUCAAGCAGAGACAGCAAGCAGAAUCAGUAAAGAGUCCCAACAACGUCAACCAAAAAACAAAAGGAUCCUACAAGGAAAAGCAGCGAUAAAGCCUAUAAGAAUCAGAUCCCUCGACAAUACCCUGGAUGGGGCAAAACCUGAGAGGAGCUCCUAAAAAGUCUCAGGAGCACGGGGCUGAGACAAAGUCUCCCAUCCAAUGAGAAAUGAGCAGAAGACUGAGCAGACACGUGAAAUGCUUUCCAAUUUCCAUGUGCACUCCUUUGUAAUUAUUGGUGAGAGUGGGACAGACACCUCCACGUUUCCCCAACUUGAAUUCCAAUUGCAUCUCCUACCUAACACUUUCUUGUCUCUCUUCAUUUCUUUUCCUUUAUUCUAGUUUUUUUUUUUUUUGGGUAUUAGUUGUGAUGGCUUUGUAGGAUCUAUAUAUUUGUAUGCCACUAUAUAUUUGUCUUAUAUAAAAAAAGAAACUAUAUAUAUUUGUCUUGUCUGCCACUAUUCUUUUCUUUCUUCCGUUAAUCCAUUUUUUAAUUUAUAUUGGUAUGGCAUAGUGUUUUAAUAAUGAAAACUUAUGACAAGUCUUUCUUUAUAAUUGCCGAUUGUCAUGACUCGUGGGCUCAUGGGUAUUUACUGAAAUUUUAAGUCUUUCUUUAUAAUUGAUGAUCGGAAAAAUUUGAAACUUAAUGUGAAAUUAUGGUUAAGAAAAUGUGAGUGAAGUACAGCUCAAUUCAUCCAUUGAUUAUUGUUUGACAAGUUGCAUUAUUGUAUUAACCAUUAAUUUUGUUAGAGUGGUUAAUGACAUCUACUUUAACAAUAAGGGAGAAACCUUAAGUAUCCAUAUGAAUUUAGUCUAAUGUUACAUUGAAACUUUGGAUAUCAAUAUGAAUUUAAUCUAAUUUUAUAUUGAAACUUUAGUAAAGCUAUCUCAUUUGUAUACGUUUAAAAGAAAUAAAAAGGUGCAAGUGGCAUGAGCAAGUGACUAGCAAUAGUAUAUGUUUUAGAUGAAAAAGUUCAUUAAAGAAAAGAGAAGGCUUGCUCUGUUUAAAUCCCCACCCCCUCCCUCCUUUGGCAGAAAAAGCAAAGGUGACCAAUAUAAGAGAGGAGGUUAGACAAAUAUUAACAUUAUUCUUUCAUGGCAUUGAUUUUCACACUGACUUGGUAGAAUGAAAUUUCAGAGAAAUUACGCUGACCAUAUUUUAUUGAUACAACACGAGCUGCAAAUCUUGUACAAAGAAUAAAGAAAGCAUCAACAAUCACAUCAGUUUGGCAUGUUCAAGAGGGAGAGUGAAUUAAGCAUUAGACUUGGAAAGUUCAUUAAAUAACAUACCUUUUGAUCAACUUUCCAUAGUUGGAAAAGCAUAAUUGGAGCGAAUUUAGAAAAGUAAAAGAAUCACAUAUAUAUAUAUAUAUAUAUAUAUAUAUAUAUAGAGCUAUUCAUAAUGAUAAAUAAUUUUAUAUAAUUUGUUAAUCAAUAAAAAAAAUACUUAUAAUAAUCUUUUAAGAAAGUUGUGCUCAGUCAUAUAUAUUUUUUUAUAUUCAAAUUCAUCAAUUUUUGAUUAUGUGUUGAAAAAUAUCGAUUUCUUUAGAAUUGAAUCUUAGACGUUUUAAUUUACAUUACUCUUAUUUUUAAGUUGAAGUGUUGAGACUUAUUGGCUCAAAUGUAACAGAAUCACUUGGACGAUUUGCAUAUUUUUUUUUAAAUAAUUUAUUAAUUAUUUUCAACUUACUCAUACUUAGCCAAACUUCAAAAAAAAAUUAAUACAAUCAAUAUCUAAUAUUCUUAUGGUAUUUCUAUUUAAACUUAUAAUCCUAAAUAUAAAACUAUAAUGCAUAAAAUAUAAAAAUUAAAUAUGAUAUAUCAGAUUAAUAAUUUCCUUUUACAUAAUCAGGAUCGUUUAAAGACUAUAUAUUCAAGAUAAUUUCAUUUCAACUAAAUAUAAAACAUAAAACACAUAAAAAAAUACUCAAGAUAAACUCCUUUUAUAUAAUUAGGANAUAUAUUAAAAUUUAAAAAAUUUUAUAUGAUAUAGAAAAAAUUUUAAAAAUUUGGGGGCUGCUGUGUAAAGGAGAAUAUAUAUACUUCCACAUAGGACCAACUGGCAAAGCAUGAUUAAUUUGUACUAGUAAAUGUCUGGAGAUUGAUGAUUAGCCUUGAUCUGCCAUAAUUCAUUGAAUCACUUUGGAAUGGGGCGGCUCUGAUUUUGCCACCUUUUUCGGUCCAAUGGAAUCAUAAAGUUAGUAAUUAAAGGAGUGAAUGGAAGAGCAAGCCAAAAUAAGGAUGAGUCUUUUGGUCAAAAACCGACAACAGCUUAUUACUAUAUAAUUUUCUUCUUUCCUCUCUUCUAUAAACCAUGAUGGGCAAUGAAAACAGAUUUUAUUUGUUUAAUAAAAUCUCAUGACUUAAGGUGAGCCUUUGUUUGUACUUGAACGGCCGUGAAAAGCUGCGUGCCAGUUUCAUAAAACCCAGUCAGACACAACGUUUCUGCUCAACUCAUCCCUUUUACCUUACUUUAGCGUCCUUUGCUCUUCCAUUUCUCAAAACCCUUUUAUUUUCUUCCUUUGAUCUUCGAUUCUCUUUUCCUUUUCCUUUGUUUUUUUGGCUUGCUCCGUUGUUUCUUUCUCAUCUCUUUUCCCUUCACCUCAAGGUGUCGGCUUCUCACAUUCCUCUACUUUCCACCCAAUAAACCAGAAACCUUUCACUUUGAUUCUUAGUUGCCUCUUUCUUCAUAGCUACAGCUAAUGGAGAAAACCACCGUUUCCAAUUUCUUACCAUUCUGAUUAUUUGCCUUGCUCAUAUCGUUUAUUGAUAUAUUCGUCUUGCUGUUUUCAUUUUUGGGUCUUCUCGAUCCCCUGUUGUCUACUUCUUCUGUCAUUUGCUUUGCUUUUCUGUUGAAUUAAAAAAAUGGAACCUAUUCUUACUGGUGCUGCUGCCAACCUUUCUUCGGAAGCUGCAAAAGGCAUCUUCCAAGAUAUGAAACGUCAUAUCAGAUAUGUAAUCAUUUACAAGAAAAAUGUCGACAAGUUUGAGGAGAAACUUAAGAUGUUGAUAGCAAAAAGAGCAAGUCUGCAGCAAGAGGUUGAUGCUGCAGACAGGAACGGGGAGAAGAUAAAAGCGGACGUCCAACAUUGGAGCAACACAGUGGACAAGGUAAUCAAUGAAGAUGUGAAGAAAAUGAAGGAUCUUGAAGACAAAGCAAAGAACAAGUGCUUCAUUGGCUUGUGUCCCAAUAUCAAGUCUCGCAACCAGCUUAGCAGGAAAGCAGAAGAAGGUGUCGCGACUAUUGACGACCUUAUCCAACAGUGUCAAUUUAACGGAGUGGGAUACCGUGAUGUUCCAGAAGCUAUAUUGGACGCAUCUCCUAAAGACUUUGAGACCUUUAAAUCAAGAGAAAAGGUUUUCAACGAUAUCAUGGAGGCUAUAAAAGACGCUACUAUCAACAUGAUAGGGUUGUAUGGGUUGGCUGGUAUGGGCAAAACAUCACUAGUCAAAGAAGUUGCCAGACAAGUCCAAGAGCUUAAGUUAUUUGAUUCGGUGGUUACCGUAAUUAUGACUCAGACGCCGGACAUUCAGAACAUUCAAGAUCAAAUUGCAGAGUUGUUGGGUCUAAGACUUGAAGACAAGAGUACGGUUGUAAGAGCACAUAGAUUGUGCGAAAGGUUGAAAAAAGGGAAGAAGGUUCUUGUUGUUUUAGAUAAUGUUUGGAAGAAAUUGGACCUCGAGGAAGUUGGAAUUCCAUUUGGAAACCAACACAAGGGAUGCAAGAUAUUGUUGACAUCAAGAGAUCAAAAUGUUCUCUCCAAUGGGAUGGAUGCUGAGAAAACUUUUUCAAUUGGUGAUUUAGACGAUGAAGAAGCUUGGGACUUGUUUAGGAAGAUGGUUGGGGAUAGUGUUGAAAGUGCUGAGUUGCGAUCUACAGCAAUUGAGGUAGCCCAAAGGUGUGCAAGAUUACCGCUGGCCAUUGCAACAGUUGCAAGGGCAUUGCGAAAUAAAAGUUUAUUUGCUUGGGAGGAUGCUUUACGGCAACUACAGAGGCCUUCCUCAAGCAACUUCACUGGGAUAUCCGCUGACGUAUAUUCAGCUAUAGAGUUGAGUUACAAUCAUUUAGAAAGUGAUGAACUUAAACAAACUUUCCUACUUUGCACUCUACUGCGCCAUGAUUCAAGCAUUGAUUACUUGUUGCAAUGUGCGAUUGGUUUGGGUUUAAUUAAUGGUGUCAGCACCGUGAAGGAAGCACGGAAUAGGUUGUUAACACUGGUGAGUAACCUCAAAGCCUCUUGUUUGUUACUUGAUAAUAACCUCAAUGACCGUUACUUUGAUAUGCAUGAUCUUGUUUAUGAUGUCGCCGUGUCAAUCGCUUCUAAGGACAAUCAUGUCUUUGCAUUAAACGAGGAAGUUCUGGAAGAUUGGCCAAAUGGAGAGAAAAUGAACAAGAUUUAUUUGCGAUAUCCUAGUAUAAUUGGAGAGCUUCCUUCCGAGUUGAAUUGUCCAGAGGUUGUUCUUUUCAUUUUCUUUAGCGAAGAUCUUUCCCUCAAAAUGCCACCUAGCUUCUUUAACGAAACAAAAAAUCUUAAAGUCUUAGAUUUGAGUGAUAUGCAAUUUUCUUCUUUACCUUUGUCAACUUGUCUCUUAACAAGCCUUCGUGCAUUGUUCCUGAAUCGAUGUGAAUUGAGAGAUAUAACCAGUAUUGGAGAACUUAAGAAUUUGGAAAUUCUUAACCUUUCAUAUUCUGAUAUCAAAAUUCUACCUAAGGAUAUUGGGCGACUGGUUAAAUUAAAACUGUUAGAUUUAAGUCAUUGUACUAAACUCAAAAUAAUUUCACCAGGUGUCUUAUCAAGCUUGUCUAGAUUAGAAGAAUUAUAUAUGGGUGGCACCUUUAUUCAAUGGGAAGUAGGGGGACAUGCCAACCAACGAGGCAGUAUUGCUAGUCUUGCUGAAUUGAAUACUCUGUCUUGUUUGACCACUUUAGAAGUCCAUAUUCCUGAUGCCGAGGCCAUAUCAAGGGGCUUGCUCUUUAAAGAGUUGCACAAGUUGAUCAGAUACCAGAUUUUCAUAGGAAAGGAAUGGGAAUGGUUUGGUGAGUAUGAGCAUUCAAGGACUCUGAAACUCAAGUUAAGUACAAGUAUUGAUCAUUUGGAUCAUGGAAUUAAGUUGCUAUUGAAGAAAACUGAAGCUUUAUAUUUAGAUGACCUUAAAAGUGUCACGAUUGCAAUGCAAGAGUUCAAAGAUGAAGAAAGCUUAUCGCAUUUGAAGAAUCUCCAUAUCCAAAAUGAUUCAGUGAUCAAAUAUAUCAUUAUUGAUAAUGGUAUAGUUGAUAAAAAUGAAUUUCUUCAAUUACAAUCUUUGACACUUCAAAAUCUACCUCAGCUCAUUAGUUUUUGUUCUGAAGAUGAAAACGGCUCUACCUCCAGGGUUCAAGAUGAGUUGCCUCUAUUUAGUGAAAAGGUAUUUAUUACUUUUCAUUUUUCACUCAUUCUAAAGCAUAUGUUGAUCUCAUUUAUUAGUUUCUUAAAAUUUUCUUCUUAUGAACAGCCAACGUUCUCAAAUGUUAAAUUAGUAUUAUUUUAGAAUCUCUCUCCUUCGCUUUUUUGCUAAUUGAUCUUCAAUAUCUAUUAUGAGUAAAAACAUACAUUGAAUAUCUAUUUUAAAUUUGACACUCUACAAUCCGUUUAUAAAAAUUGUCUAGUGCUAUACUGAUCCUUUGUUAAAGUUUUAUGCAAGAGCCUAGCAUAAUUGUAAGAUGAGUGAGGGCAUAGUUAGAGAUCUUAGGUUUGAGAUUUUGUUCAUGCAGAUAAAUAAAUUUCAAUAUAUAUCUACAUUCUAAAAAAAAACUGAUGCCUUCUCCUCCAUUUAAAAAAAACAGGUUGCCACAUUGUGUGAAAGCCAUUUCCUUUUGUUUCCAUUUUUCGCUACCAUCCACGAUUGAUAAACCGAACCAUGUCAUAGUGCCCAUUUCAAAGCCUGAACAUCAACAAAACCCACUUCAGUGAUUGUUUAAUACAUUAGAAAUCACUUCUCCGUAAAAUGGAAGUAAUUAUUUCUCCUGAACUCAGUUGCCAUUGAAUUGGCAAACCCAUUCCUUCCUUUUUAAUCAUAGAAUGUUAUGUAAUUAUGCUAAAUAAGCUAGUCUUUCUUCUGUUGUCUUUUUCUUUUUUUUUUUUCACACAAUUUUUAAUCUAGAUUAAUUACUUGUCUGCAGUCGUUGUUCCCUUGCUUGGAGAAUUUGCGGUUGUCCUCAAUUAGUGUUGAAAGGAUAUGGCAUGAUUCUUUCUGCAAUCAUGAGAAUUUGACAAGUUUGAUCAUCGAGAAUUGUGGCAACUUAAAACGUUUAUUAUCAUUUUCUAUGUCUAGGAAGCUAGUGCAUCUCAAAUGCUUUGAGAUAAUUGGAUGCAAGUGCCUAAGAGAGAUAAUUUUUGCAGAGGAUAUAGAGGAAGAAAGCAAAGAUACGAUUUUAUUUCCUCAAUUAAACUCUCUAAAGUUACAAGAUCUUCAGCAUCUCAUUGGAUUUUUGUUAGAACGUCGGAAUAUUGAAUUUCCGUCCUUGAAGUCACUAAAGAUAGAGAAAUGCCCAGAACUAAAGGGGUUCAUAUACGAAUCUACAAUGGAAGGGAGCCAAAAUUUUUCUAGUCAAGUUCUCUUUGACGAAAAGGUAGAGUAUUGUUAGCAUUCUUUAUUAUCCAUGUUUUCCCAUUGCCAUGCUUUUGGCCUUGAUUAUAGGAACAAAUGCUUCUAAACAUUUCAUUAAUUGGCAUGAAUUAAUUACAUACAGGUUGCAUUUCUUAGUUUGGAGAAAAUUUCUAUUUCCAAAUUGAGAAACAUGAAGAUGAUAUGGAAGAACCAACUCGCUGCGAAUUCCUUUCACAAACUACAGGAAAUGGAAGUUGAAGAAUGUGACCAGCUACUGACCAUUUUUCCAUCUAAUAUGUUGAGAGCAUUUCAAGGACUGCAAACUCUAACAGUUCAUAAAUGUGUUUCGGUAGAAGAAGUAUUUGAAGUCGGAAGCUCAAAUAUGGAAGAAACAGGUGCUGUCACCAGUCAACUAAGAGAGUUGCAUAUUUGGCAUCUACCAAGCCUCAAGAAUAUUUGGAAGAAUGAUCCCAAAGGAAUUUUUACAUUUGAAAAUCUGCGGGUAAUAAGUGUUUGGGAUUGUUGCAGUCUGAAGAAUGUAUUUCCAGCCUCAGUAGCCAGAGUUCUUCCACAACUUAGAGAUCUUCACAUAAAUGAUUGCGGAGUGGAAGAAAUUGUUUCCAAGGAGGAAGGAUUGGAAACAACUGUCACUUUCAGGUUUGAUCAAGUAUGCUACCUUCGUCUUUGGCAGCUACCAGAACUCAAAUGCUUUUACCCGGAGGUACAUACGACAAAGUGGCCAAUGUUAAAAAAGUUAAAAGUAUUUGGCUGUGACAAAAUGAAGAUAUUUGGUACAGAACGUCUCAGCAUCUCAGAUAUGGCUAAAGUCGAUGGACAACUUGAGUCCACUUUAAUCCAACCACCGCUUUUGUUGGCUGAAAAGGUAUGCAUGUGCCUCCACCUCCACUCUUUCUCAACUGAUUAAGAUGCUAACGUGUACGUGAAAAUCAAUUUAACAGGCCCUUGUAAUGUACUAGCUAUAUUUCCAACUUUUUAUUAACAAACUAGAGUGCCAAAAAUAAACAUCAUUUUAAUCAAAUGUGAUCUUACAAAAAAUCAUUAAAUACAACAAAAUCAAAUUUUUAUUAUUGUUAUUAUUUUUAUAGGAAAUUGCAUAUGUCAAUGACUAGCUAGUUGAAUUUAUAUAAAUUAAGUGGUAUGUAAUACUUUAAAAAAAAAAAAUCACUUCCAUGUUUUGAUUUCACUCACAAAUACAGACGAUAACUUCAAAUUUGCUAGUUUCAAAGAGAAAAAGCAAAAAAAUAGUGUUACAUUAAACAUUUAGUCACUUAAUGUUUCAAAAAUUUCUAUUUAGUCGUUCAACUUUAAAAAAUUCUUAUUUUGAUCACUUAAUUGUCUGAAAAAUGUUAGUCAAUCAUUACCUUUUUUAAAGACAAAAGUCAACCAUUGGCUUCUAACAAUUGAAUGGUAAACAUUAACUUUUACAAAUUUGAUAACCAAAUUGUGAUUAUUCAAAAUUAAAUGACCAAAAUAAAAUUUUAUGAAAAGUUAAGUGACUAAAUGCGUAAUAAAAAAUGGAGUAUAUAUACCUUGUUUGAGUAUAAAUAAAAAGAAGUAUUCCAAAGUUUCAAAUGUAAUCUGAGUGUAUCAAGACUUGCGCAAUAAUUUUUAUUAGUACAAUAAUUUUUGCAUUGUUGAAAGAAGAACAUUGACUCCAAAACUGUUACUUUAUUGGUUUUCAGGUCAUCCCUCAAUUAGAAAAAUUGUCAUUAAAUAUUGAUGACAUUAAUGCAAUGAUAAGUGAUAGUCAAUUUUCAAGAAGCCUUUUUCGUGAAAUAAAAGUUCUUAGGGUGUGCAACUCUGGUGAUGAAUCUGUUGUUUUCCCAAUUACUUUCCUAGAAAGAUUUCAAAAUCUAGAAAAGCUUGUGGUGAUUUCUUAUGAAUUCAAAGAGCUGUUCUGCGAUGAAAGAGAUAGUGGUAUGGAGACAUAUGCUGGGACACUGCCCACGAUCAGAAGCCUAAAAUUGAUUUGUCUUGAUAAUCUCAAACAUUUAUGGAAGCAGGACGUACAAGUAGACCGCAUUCUCCCUAAUCUGGAAACUCUUCAAGUCCACCAGUGUGACGAACUUAUUAGUUUAGGAUCAUCCUCAGCAUCGUUUCAAAAUCUCUUGACGUUGGAUGUGUGUAGCUGUGGCGCAAUGAUAUGCUUAGUUACAUCUUUAGCAGUCCAAAGUCUGGCGCAACUCAAAAAAUUGAGGAUAAGACAGUGCAUUUCCAUGAAGGAAAUAGUUGGAAAUGAGGGUGAUGAAGCAACAUACAACAUUAAUUUCAGCAAGUUGAAAAGUUUGGAACUCUGUGAUUUACCACAAAUUACAAGCUUUUGUUCAGGCAACCAUACAUUUGGGUUCCCAUCUUUAGAAGAAGUAAUUAUGAACAAAUGUCCCGAAAUGGAGAUUUUCUGUAAGGGAGUUUUAAAUGCGCCAAUGCUGGAAAGAGUACAAGUAACAGACAAAGAUGGUAAGGGACACUGGGGUGGUGACCUUAACAGCACUGUCCAACAAUUGUACGCCGAAAAGGUACUUGCUCAUUUUAAUUUAUCUAACCAAUUAGUUGUCUUUGUAAGGCUUUUUUUGUUUGUGGAUGCUUUUGUUUGCUUAAUUUGACUUAGGGUUUCUAUUUUUUUUUUUUUCGUUUUUGUGGUUACCCAUGAACUUAAUCGUUCCUUUUUUGUUGGAUUUUGUAGGUUGGAUACAAAGGAGUGGAGUAUGUAGUACUCUCCGAGUUUUCUAAGUCAACAGAAAUAUGGAAAGAGAAUCCUGAAGGAGUUUUCAAUUUCGUAAAUCUUACAUAUUUGGAAGUUUACAAGUGUAAGAGCUUGAAGUACAUAUUUACUGUUUCUAUGGCUUUGGAUCUUCUGCAAUUGAAGGAGAUAAAAGUAAGAAAUUGCCCUAUGAUGGAGCAAAUAAUCACAAGAGAAGGAGCAGAGGAAGCAUCAAUCGUGUUGCCCAGGCUUCAGUCUAUAACUCUUAGGUCAUGUUCCAACCUGAGGAGCUUUUCUUUGGGAAGUAUUACAAUGGAAUGUCCAUCUUUGCAAUGUAUCGAUGCAGUUAAUUGUUCAAAAUUGUUAGCAUUGGCAUCUACAUUUGUAGGAGAGAAGGAUACAGAGACAGUCGCAGCCUUUUUCAAUGAUAAGGUUAGUCUCUGCAUGGUUUCUUCACAUUUAAAACGUUUUUCUUUCCGAAGUUUAACUUGUUUAUUUUGUCUGCUAAUAAUAGGCAAAUUUAAAUUCCAUUAUAAGAAUCAAAGUAAAGUUUUUGAUGCAAUAAGGAUUAUGUAUGUAGGUUGUGUGUCCAAAUUUGGAGAUUGUGCGACUAUCCUCAAUUGACGUUCAGAGAAUAUGGGAUGACCAACUUCCUGAAAUGUCUUCUUAUGUUCAAAAUUUAAAACAAUUGACUGUCAGGGGCUGUAGAAAUCUAGAAGAAGUUAUCUUUAUAGAAGGAUUACCAGAAGAUGGCAUGUUGAGCCAAAUAUUCCCUAAACUAGAAAUUUUGCAAUUCAUAGGCCUUCCCAAACUCGCAAGAUUCUGCCAUGGAAGUUACUUUGAAUUCCCCUUGUUAAGACAGCUUAUAAUGAAGAACUGUCCUGCAUUGAAGACAUUCAUCUCCGAUUCUACGGUGACAAACGAAACUCUUAUUUGUCAAAAAGCGAAAGGAAACAACUCAGAUAUUGAUUCCCCUCCUCUCUUUAGUGAAAAGGUGAUUACUCCAUUUGUCUUUUCUUUAUCACUCUUCUUUUCUUUUUUUUUUAUGUAUCCUCAAGUUUUAAAUGUUUGAUUCCCCUUUCCUUUGUUACAUUUUUUCCUUGUUAUUUAGUUGUUGAACAUGAAGAUCUAUGAUCUGCAAUAUUAUUGACACAAUCAAUAAAUUUAGCAGGUGGCUUUCCCUCAAUUAAAGAAAUUGGGAAUCGUAGGGAUGGCAAACUGCAGAAAGAUAUGGCCUGAUCAACUCGUUGGUUAUUCAUUUUGCAAGCUAAAUGAUUUGUGGGUGUACGAAUGCAAUCGACUGUUGAGCAUUUUUCCACUUAAUAUGAGGGCAAGACUCCAGAAUCUAGAGGAGUUCCGAAUAAGAGAAUGUGAUUCAUUAGAAGAAAUAUUUGAACAUGAAGUGCUCAAUACCAACGACUUACAUUCAGUGACUGCCACUCAAUCCAUUGCGGAAGAAACAACCACCAAUUUUGUAUUUCCUAAACUAACAUACUUGGAACUUUAUAUGCUGCCCAGAUUGAGGAGUUUCUGCUCUACGAUACAUACUACGGAGUGGCCAUCAUUAAAGGAAAUGUGGAUAUAUGGAUGUGACAAAGUGGAGAUAUUUGCUUCAGAAAAUAUUCGGAGCUUUGGAGAAUCAACAAAUCAACAAGCCCUGUUUUGGGUAAAUGAGGUAUUUGAACACAAAACUAUGUUAAACUUUUAAACAUUUGGUAUGCUCUUGAUUUUCAAUGUUGAGUCAAAACUCAAUCAAAUCCAGAUGGAUUUGCUUUUUUUUUUUUUUCUUAUAAUUCUCACAAGCAUGUCUCAGUAUUGCUCCAAUAUUGUAGCUUGCACAUAAGAUUUAUGUUAAAAUAACUAUAUUCACUCAAUUAAGGUGUUCUCGUCUUGCUUAACUCAUAUAGAUGCAUCAUAUGGCACUUUUAGAUUAGGUUUUAAGGAGUGUUUCGAAAAAGAUAAAUUAGAUGAGACAAAUUCAUGUACAUAAAAAUUUGGUAUUAGGCAAUUUGUCAGAAAGAAUUUUUCUAUACAAUGAUAUUCAGAAAACUCAAGCAAUAUAACAUUUGAAUUGUGUCUCCAUCAUUCUUAUGUUGCAUUCCCACCAUAACAUACACAGUGUGUCUCACUGUUGGCUUCAAGAGCUUAGUUUGUAGAAUAAAUGAAACAUUGACAUCUUUAACUUUAGUCUAACACAUUUGUUAAUUUCCAGGUUACAUUUCCCAAUCUGGAAGAAUUAAAAUUGGAGUGGAAUGACAUUAUGAAAGAGAUAUGGCAUGGACAACUUAGAGCAAACUUUUUCUACAAACUAAAAGUUCUUGAGCUCAUUCACUUUCCUGAUCAAUCAGCUGUUUUCCCACAUUGUUUUAUUCAGUCAUUACCAAAUUUAGAAAAGCUUGCUGUUAGUGAAGCUUCCUUUAGUCAUAUAUUCCAUUUUGAAGGAUUUGAUGGUCAGAAAAAUCAUGCAUCGGCAAUCACUUCGUUGAAUGAAUUGGUGCUGUCUGAACUUCCUGAGCUAACACAUCUUUGGAAGGAAGAAUACCACCCCAUACCAGCUUUCUGUGAACUGAGAACUCUUCAAGUGCGGGAUUGUGGCAAAUUAAAGAUUUUAGCGCCAUCAUCAGUGUCUUUUGAAAAUUUAACAACUUUGGAAGUUUCAAGAUGUCAUGGAUAUGUGAAUUUGAUAGCAUGCUCAACAGCUAAGAGCCUAGUGCAACUCUCAAGAAUGACCAUAACUGAUUGUGAGAUGAUAGAGAAAAUCAUAGCAUGUGAGUCUGAGGAAGUGAAAGGAGACAUUGUUUUUACUGAACUGAAGUAUUUGCAACUAAGUUGUCUACCAAAUAUGGCUAGCUUCUGCUUAGGGGAUCACAACUUGGAAUUCCCUAUCUUGGAGAAAAUGAUUGUGAGAAAAUGCCCAAAGAUGAAGAUUUUCUGCCAAGGAGAUUUAAGCACACCACAACUCCAAAAAGUGAUAUUGACAGAAGAUGGAGAUGAAGAAAAUGGGCAGUGGGAAGGCGAUCUUAAAACUACUAUAAAACGGAUGUUUGAAGAAGAGGUAAGUAUCAAUUUAAAAGUUAUUCUUAUGUUGCUUUGGUUUCUUAUUUUGAUUUUUCAGUAGCAUGCGUUAGCUUUUCCUUGUCACCCCAUACUUAUUAAAAGGUUGCUCAAAUGAGGAAACCAUACUAAUAUGUAAAGUAAAGCUGUUGCAGAAUUAAUUAGUUCAUUAAUUUAGCAUAGAGCUUCUAACUAUUUUCCUUUUUAUAAUGAAAAUUUACUAUAAAACUGUAGUUUUGGUGCUUUUCAUUAAUUUAAGGAACUCUUGAUUAAUUUUUAUGAUUACAGAAUGUCGAAAAUUCUGAAAACCACUAAGUUUACCUUUUAGUUGCUCAAGUUGAAGAGGGAAAUAUUGUUUUUGUACUUGUGAGAGGCUACAUGUUCCUUGGAUUGAAGUGAGAUGGUAAGUAGAUCUUCUACUUCCAUAAUCUCCAUUUUUCUACUUUAUUUCCUUCACCACACCUGACUGCUUUGUUUUUGUCUCCUUCAAUUUUGGAUUGCCAAUUAAUUAAUUUUUUUAUUAAUUAAUUUGCAGAAGAAAUAACAGGGAACUGGUUUGUUUAAAAGUGCUUGAUCUAUAUACCCUUAUCAAUUUAUUAAUUUAUGAAAUUAAAAAAUUAUCACUUAUUUUUUAUUAUCAAUUAAAUUAUUUAGUAGGAUUUGUAACAUUGAAAAUGUGAAAUUGCAAUUAGU
rnacentral:lncRNA from 1 species